GACGUAGGAGGCGAGCGUUGUCCGGAUUCAUUGGGCGUAAAGAGCACGCAGGCGGUUUGGCAAGUCGGAUGUGAAAACCCGAAGCUCAACUUCGGGCCUGCAUCCGAAACUGCCCGACUAGAGGUAGGUAGGGGAGAUCGGAAUUCCUGGUGUAGCGGUGAAAUGCGCAGAUAUCAGGAGGAACACCGGUGGCGAAGGCGGAUCUCUGGGCCUUACCUGACGCUGAGGCGCGAAAGCUAGGGGAGCAAACAGG
rnacentral:rRNA from 1 species